rnacentral:rRNA from 1 species
AAUGAACGCUGGCGGCAGGCCUAACACAUGCAAGUCGAACGAGUGGCGGACGGGUGAGUCAUGUCUGGGAACCUGCCCGAGGGAGGGGGAUAACUACUGGAAACGGUCGCUAAUACCGCAUACCAUCGGAUGUGCCCAGAUGGGAUUAGCUAGUAGGUGGGGUAACGGCUCACCUAGGCGACGAUCCCUAGCUGGUCUGAGAGGCUGACCAGCCACACUGGAACUGAGACACGGGCCAGACGCCUACGGGAGGCAGCAGUGGGGAAUCUUGCGCAAUGGGCGCAAGCCUGAUGCAGCCAUGCCGCGUGUAUGAAGAAGGCCUUCGGGUUGUAAAGUACUUUCAGCGGGGAGGCGUUACUCGCAGAAGAAGCACCGGCUAACUCCGUGCCAGCAGCCGCGGUAAUUC